CAUCAUGUAGAGGUGGAGCGUGGGUCCAAGUCUCGUGUUGGGUAGGUCUGUGUGGGUCCGCAUUCUGCAUUGGGGCUGUUGCCUUACGGGGUCUAGUCCUCAGUGUGGUUCUUGUUUCCUCCCGGCAGUGAUUGAAUGGUAUGAGGUUGGGACACGCUGGGGGGGAGAAUGAGGGGGGGAUGUGGUUGAGGGUGACCUGCCUGCAGGUCGCCCCAGGUGCAGGCGCCCGAUUGUCUUGUAGUUGCGCAUCCUAGGUUUAGGUGCCUAAUAUUAUGGAGCUAUCUACUAAACAGCUUCCUCUGGAAUCCUAAAUGCCAAUCCCACAUAAUGUUGUCAAACUAGGGAAUAUUCUGGCAGAAAGAUUUUCCUAGUUGACUUAUGUGAAUGAUGGGGAAAAUAUUUAAUGAACACGUACACUAGUCCAUGUACCUUAGACACAACAGCAUGCUGCGCUAUAGCUUAUAUGGUGAUAGGAGCAGUGCAGUGCAUUGCAUUCCCUGAAUUUAAGUAGUUUUGUUGGAGUAGUCUUAGUUAAGCCAUUCACUAAGGAUUGCCUAGGUUUGUCAAUUUCAAGCAAGUUACCAAUGGUCUCCUCCACUUGGCACUGGCAACCGAUCAUGAUCAUCUCCUCUAUGAGAGCUGGGUGCUCUCUCUCCGUUCAUUGAGCAGCCUAGCAAUGCAGGGUUAGCUCACUAGCUGAGAGAUCACCUAUGAUCCUAGUCCUCUAUAGCAGCGCUUGGCCCUGACGAGCAAAUGGAAGCUCCAUGCAGGAGUUCUUCUCAGCUUAAUACUACUUACCUACCACCAGAGCUCCUGAAGGAUUCUGGUCACAUCUUCUAGUGCCUUUCUGUACCUCAUCAACAUAUUAGCAAACUGCUUGAAUUACUUACAUUGUUUGGUGCAAAGGCACUCCUACCUCUGUAACCACAACAUUGUGCUGUAGUGGUUGUGGUGCCAAAAAAAAUAUCCAGAAAUACAAAAACUUUAUUGUACAGCAGAAGGAACAGUUUGUUGUAGUCCAAACGUCUGUUCUAGUGUCUUCCGCUAGGUCAGCUUGUAGUCCUCUUCUAUCUCCAUUAACAGUCUUUUUCAUAUUCCUGCAAGUAAGUGUGUGAUGUUGUGGACUUGGGACAAUGUGUGUCUGUGUGCAGAAAGUGCAUAGUCCACAACAUCUCUCACUCAAUGACCAAUGUGAUAAUCUAGAGAUGUAUGUAUGUGUGUGAAUAUCGUGAUGUGUUAUUGGUUAGGAUGGAAUGGAUGUGAUGUUGUUUGUUGUGGUUGUACUGGUUGGUCUUUUAAUAGUAAUAGGUGUGGCAUAGAUGACUACUACACUAACUUCUAUUUUUAUGAGAGAAAGACUGAAUGUUUUGUUGGUUAUUGUUUGUGUGUGUGUGAGAGGCUGUUUGUGUGAAAUUGUAAUUGUAUCAGAGCAUAUGG